UACGUAGGGUGCAAGCGUUAUCCGGAAUUAUUGGGCGUAAAGGGCUCGUAGGCGGUUUGUCGCGUCGGGAGUGAAAACGCCGUGCUUAACACGGCGCUUGCUUUCGAUACGGGCAGACUAGAGGUAUGCAGGGGAGAACGGAAUUCCUGGUGUAGCGGUGAAAUGCGCAGAUAUCAGGAGGAACACCGGUGGCGAAGGCGGUUCUCUGGGCAUUACCUGACGCUGAGGAGCGAAAGUGUGGGGAGCGAACAGG
rnacentral:rRNA from 1 species